UCGUAGGUGGCCAACUAAGUCAAACGUGAAAUCCCUCGGCUUAACCGGGGAACUGCGUCUGAUACUGGAUGGCUAGAGAUUGGGAGAGGGAUGCGGAAUUCCAGGUGUAGCGGUGAAAUGCGUAGAUAUCUGGAGGAACACCGGUGGCGAAGGCGGCAUCCUGGACCAACACUGACGCUGAGGAGCGAAAGCCAGGGGAGCAAACGGGAUUAGAUACCCCGGUAGUCCUGGCCCUAAACGAUGAAUGCUUGGUGUGGCGGGUAUCGAUCCCUGCUGUGCCGAAGCUAACGCAUUAAGCAUUCCGCCUGGGGAGUACGGUCGCAAGGCUGAA
rnacentral:rRNA from 1 species